GUGCCUGUUUUGGCAGCACAUACCCUAAAAUUGGAAAGAUACAGAGAUUAGCGAGGCCUCAGUACAAGGAUGACACAGAUUCAUGAAGAGUUCCAUAUUUUU
ensembl:snRNA U6 U6 spliceosomal RNA